rnacentral:rRNA from 1 species
UUUUCCCCCGGGGAAAACUAGCAUAUCAAUAAGCGGAGGAAAAGAAACCAACAGGGAUUGCCCUAGUAACGGCGAGUGAAGCGGCAACAGCUCAAAUUUGAAAUCUGGCUCUUUCAGGGUCCGAGUUGUAAUUUGCAGAGGGCGCUUUGGCUUUGGCAGCGGUCCAAGUUCCUUGGAACAGGACGUCACAGAGGGUGAGAAUCCCGUACGUGGUCGCUAGCUAUUGCCGUGUAAAGCCCCUUCGACGAGUCGAGUUGUUUGGGAAUGCAGCUCUAAAUGGGAGGUAAAUUUCUUCUAAAGCUAAAUACUGGCCAGAGACCGAUAGCGCACAAGUAGAGUGAUCGAAAGAUGAAAAGCACUUUGGAAAGAGAGUCAAACAGCACGUGAAAUUGUUGAAAGGGAAGCGCUUGCAGCCAGACUUGCUUGCAGUUGCUCAUCCGGGCUUUUGCCCGGUGCACUCUUCUGCAGGCAGGCCAGCAUCAGUUUGGGCGGUGGGAUAAAGGUCUCUGUCACGUACCUCUCUUCGGGGAGGCCUUAUAGGGGAGACGACAUACCACCAGCCUGGACUGAGGUCCGCGCAUUCGCUAGGAUGCUGGCGUAAUGGCUGUAAGCGGCCCGUCUUGAAACACGGACCAAGGAGUCUAACAUCUAUGCGAGUGUUUGGGUGUCAAGCCCGAACGCGUAAUGAAAGUGAACGGAGGUGGGAACCCGCAAGGGUGCACCAUCGACCGAUCCUGAUGUCUUCGGAAGGAUUUGAGUAAGAGCAUGGCUGUUGGGACCCGAAAGAUGGUGAACUAUGCUUGAAUAGGGUGAAGCCAGAGGAAACUCUGGUGGAGGCUCGCAGCGGUUCUGACGUGCAAAUCGAUCGUCAAAUUUGGGCAUAGGGGCGAAAGACUAAUCGAACUAUCUAGUAGCUGGUUCCUGCGUG